CAGGGCCCGGGGCCCAGGGUUAGGGUUUUAGGGUCAGGGCCCGGGGCCCAGGGUUAGGGUGAUUUCCAGGAAGUGACCUCACAACGACUCAAGCUACCACUUAUUGUUGAUUGUGAUGAAAUGCCAGCUGAGGCACACACCUUGGGAGCUAAGUGGUUGCUGCACUUGACUACUAUGAAGACUGGUGUGGGAAGGGUCGCUUUGGAUGCACUUGAGCAGGGGUCCCCAACCCCUGAGCCAUGGAGCCGUAAGGAGCCACACAGCAGGUGAGUGGUGUCGAGUGAGGGAGUGAGGGAAGCUUCGUCUGUAUUUACAGCCACUCCCCUUUGCUCACAUUCCCGCCUGAGCUCCACCUUCUCAGAUGAGCAGCAGCAUUAGAUUCUCAUAGGAGAACGCACCCUGUUGUGAACCGUGCAUGUGAGGGAUCUAGGUUGCGCUGUUCUUAUGAGAAUCUAAUACCUAUUGAUCUGUCACUUUCUCCCAUCACGCUCAGGUGGGACCAUCCAGUUUCAGGAAAACAAGCUUAACACGCCCACUGAUUCUACAUUAUGCUCCUACCUCCCGGCAGCCUCGCCAGGCCCAGAACUCUCUCCAGUCAGCCUCUACAGACCAAGCUCAUGACUCACAAUGGCCUAUUUAGGCCCAUACCCUACCUCACGGCAGUCUCCGCAGAUGAGCCUACUGCCUCACAACAGCCUCCACAGGCACAGCUCCAUCGUUCCAAUGGCCUCUUUAGACCCAGCUCCUGCCGCCCAGCCUUCUCUCCAGGCCCUGAACUUUCUCCGUGGGACCAUCCAGUUUCAGGAAAACAAGCUUAACACGCCCACUGAUUCUACAUUAUGCUCCUACCUCCCGGCAGCCUCGCCAGGCCCAGAACUCUCUCCAGUCAGCCUCUACAGACCAAGCUCAUGACUCACAAUGGCCUAUUUAGGCCCAUACCCUACCUCACGGCAGUCUCCGCAGAUGAGCCUACUGCCUCACAACAGCCUCCACAGGCACAGCUCCAUCGUUCCAAUGGCCUCUUUAGACCCAGCUCCUGCCGCCCAGCCUUGUCUCCAGGCCCUGAACUUUCUCCGUAAGUUGAGGUAGCUGGGACUGUAGGUAUACAUGAUGAUACUUGGCUAAUUUUUACAUUGUUUUGCAGACAUGGGGUCUCACUUUGUUGGCCAGGCUGCUGUCAAACUAAUGGCCUCAAGUGACCCUUCCACCCCAGCCUCCCAUCCUCGAGGUAUGUGCCACCAC